rnacentral:rRNA from 1 species
UACGGAGGGGGCUAGCGUUGUUCGGAAUUACUGGGCGUAAAGCGCACGUAGGCGGCUUUGUAAGUUAGAGGUGAAAGCCCAGGGCUCAACCCUGGAAUUGCCUUUAAGACUGCAUCGCUUGAACAUCGGAGAGGUAAGUGGAAUUCCGAGUGUAGAGGUGAAAUUCGUAGAUAUUCGGAAGAACACCAGUGGCGAAGGCGACUUCCUGGACCAAUACUGACGCUCAUGUGCGAAAGCGUGGGGAGCAAACAGG